UACGUAGGGUGCGAGCGUUAAUCGGAAUUACUGGGCGUAAAGCGUGCGCAGGCGGUGAUGCAAGACAGAUGUGAAAUCCCCGGGCUUAACCUGGGAAUGGCAUUUGUGACUGCAUUGCUAGAGUGUGUCAGAGGGGGGUGGAAUUCCACGUGUAGCAGUGAAAUGCGUAGAGAUGUGGAGGAAUACCGAUGGCGAAGGCAGCCCCCUGGGAUAACACUGACGCUCAUGCACGAAAGCGUGGGGAGCAAACAGG
rnacentral:rRNA from 1 species